GCUCGAGUGGCGAACGGGUGAGUAACACGUGAGUAACCUGCCCUUGACUUUGGGAUAACUUCAGGAAACUGGGGCUAAUACCGGAUAGGAGCUCCUGCUGCAUGGUGGGGGUUGGAAAGUUUCGGCGGUUGGGGAUGGACUCGCGGCCUAUCAGCUUGUUGGUGGGGUAGUGGCUUACCAAGGCUUUGACGGGUAGCCGGCCUGAGAGGGUGACCGGCCACAUUGGGACUGAGAUACGGCCCAG
rnacentral:rRNA from 1 species